UACGAAGGGGGCUAGCGUUGCUCGGAAUCACUGGGCGUAAAGGGUGCGUAGGCGGGUCUUUUAAGUCAGGGGUGAAAUCCUGGAGCUCAACUCCAGAACUGCCUUUGAUACUGAGGAUCUUGAGUUCGGGAGAGGUGAGUGGAACUGCGAGUGUAGAGGUGAAAUUCGUAGAUAUUCGCAAGAACACCAGUGGCGAAGGCGGCUCACUGGCCCGAUACUGACGCUGAGGCACGAAAAGCGUGGGGAGCAAACAGGGA
rnacentral:rRNA from 1 species